rnacentral:tRNA from 1 species
GGCCUGAUGGUCUAGUGGUAUGAUUGUCGCUUCGGGUGUGACAGGCCCCGGGUUCGAGUCCCGGUCAGGCCC